AUCACUUCUCGGCCUUAUGGCUAAGAUCAAGUGUAGUGUCUGUUCUUACCAGCUUUAUAUCUGAUAUGUCCUCUAUUUGCGGACUGCAUAUUAAGCAGGUUUUUGGAAUUUGGAGAUGGAAUAGGGGUUUGUUCCAUCUACUCCAUGCAUCGAUCUGGUAUUGCAGUAUUUCCAGAAAUGGUGCACAAAAU